rnacentral:rRNA from 1 species
ACUCCUACGGGAGGCAGCAGUGGGGAAUAUUGCACAAUGGGGGAAACCCUGAUGCAGCCAUGCCGCGUGUGUGAAGAAGGCCUUCGGGUUGUAAAGCACUUUCAGUAGGGAGGAAAGGGUGAGUCUUAAUACGGCUCAUCUGUGACGUUACCUACAGAAGAAGGACCGGCUAACUCCGUGCCAGCAGCCGCGGUAAUACGGAGGGUCCGAGCGUUAAUCGGAAUUACUGGGCGUAAAGCGUGCGCAGGCGGUUUGUUAAGCGAGAUGUGAAAGCCCUGGGCUCAACCUAGGAAUAGCAUUUCGAACUGGCGAACUAGAGUCUUGUAGAGGGGGGUAGAAUUCCAGGUGUAGCGGUGAAAUGCGUAGAGAUCUGGAGGAAUACCGGUGGCGAAGGCGGCCCCCUGGACAAAGACUGACGCUCAUGCACGAAAGCGUGGGGAGCAAACAGGAUUAGAUACCCUGGUAGUCCACGCCGUAAACGAUGUCUACUCGGAGUUUGGUGUCUUGAACACUGGGCUCUCAAGCUAACGCAUUAAGUAGACCGCCUGGGGAGUACGGCCGCAAGGUUAAAACUCAAAUGAAUUGACGGGGGCCCGCACAAGCGGUGGAGCAUGUGGUUUAAUUCGAUGCAACGCGAAGAACCUUACCUACUCUUGACAUCCACAGAAGACUGCAGAGAUGCGGUUGUGCCUUCGGGAACUGUGA